CAAGCUGAUGAUAGAGGCAAAGGAAGUCUGUGGCCCUGAAAAGUCCCAAGCUGGUGUGGGGGAAAACUGUGUUACUGCAAUCUCCGUCUCGCAAAGGAGUUAACAGCAGUGCAGAGAAAUGCAGGGCCUUGCACAGAGCCAUUGCAGCAAUGCCCUCUCGUGGGGACUUCUUCUGCUGUUGAGUUCAAUCCCCUCUGAAUGAGUUGGAGCUUUAGGAUGCUGCAACUACGUUAAACUUCAUUUGUGCAGGGCUGGUUUCUUUUUUUUCUUUCUUUCUUUUUCCCUUUUUUUCUUUUUUUUUCUUUUGCCAUCAUGCCUGUCAGUUGGGGCUGUGAUUUUGUUUCCUCCUCACAGUCCUCUCAGACUUAGCAAUGCCAUCAACUCUUUUCCAGGCCAGAAUAAGCUCCCCAACACAAGAGGAUUCUCCAGCCCUAGUGGGACCUGAAUAUAGAUCAUCCAAGUCCCCCACCGACUGCCCUAGAUGCAGAGCUGUGCUUUCCCCACGGCUGAGCAGGGAUGCCAGGACCCCCUGCACAGCAACGCUGGAUCGCUCAGAGCACCGAGGAACGACUCCAGGGAGACAAGGAGACGAGCGGAGCUGGUUCGCGUUUCUUUGCUUUUCAGCCGAGGCCCCACUGGCCUGAUAAAUAUAAGCAAAUCAGGCUGUGACUAGAGGGGGGAGUUCAUUUGAUGUCCUCCUGGAGCUUCUCUGCAGAGAAAAUGUAGGAGGGGUUUCAGGAGUGAAAGCGGUGUCUCCCUUAUCCCAGUGAUGCCACAGGCUGGGGGAAAAAAAAGAAAAAACGGUUCAAGUUAAGCCAGGGAGAUGUCGUGGGGGGCUGUGCUGUGAAUGUGGUGCGGGCAAGAGGAUGAGGCUCAGAGCUGCCCUGCAGACCAGGAGGCCACUUCUUGCAGCCCCGCACGUUUGCUUCCCGAGGGCACAACCUGAGCAGGUGCAGGCUGCAAAAGCUGCGCUUUGGUUGCGCCGCUGGUGCCAGCUCAGUCCAGGCGCUCGCUAUGGCCACGCCACCCUCUCUCCAGCCAAAAAUGUGAUUAAACAGGGAGGAAAAAAGAAAUGUUCUGUCUCUAGUUGUUUUUAGGUGGCAGUGAUGAUCUCAGGUCUUGUACAGAGUCUGGCAGGCAGUAACUUGCAAGGAAUCUUUUUAAGCUGCCAGAUGAUUUCCUUCCCAUUUUCUUCCAUCACUUUUAUGGACGUGCAGCCAUGUGCAGGUUUUGUUGCGUCUCGAAGGGAGGUGGGAAAUCCAGCUCGCGCUUUGCAGUAAGUGCCUGAUUCAUCACUGUUAAUUCCUUUUGCCAUUUGCCGUAAUAACAAUAAUCAAAACGAAUUAAUUUGGUAUUAGUGGGAAAAGAACAUUGCGACUGCAUGGGAAUGGUGCUGCAAUUGAGUAGGAUAUGUGUCUAUUUAAUAAAGUAAGAUCUCUCUCUUUAUCUCUUUACUAGCUCUCUACCUACCUAUGACUACAUUUUAUUUUCAAGGACUGGCUAUUGUAUUAAUGCAUCUUAUAGUUAUACCAAAAUGUUUUACAUCUUUCACAGCAUGUUUUAAAUAUUUUAGUACACAUAAAGUAAAUUCAUUCAUUUCAUCCUUCCUUAGAAUGAGGAAGAUGAUAAAAAUUGUAGUUUCCUCUAGAACAAACCUACCUUCUUGCAGCUUAUUGGGAAUGAAACAAAAUAUAUCAAUUAGAUGACCAGGUGGAGUUGUUUCCUGCUUACAGGGUAAUGACUCUAGGCAGAUAGACUUAACUCUCCAGGUAUAAGACCACGGUGUUUAUUAACAAAAAAUGUAUUUAUAUGGGGCUAAUAGGAACCUCCAUCCAUUUAUUAGUACCAGUAGAUGAAGGUCAGACUGAAUAAAAGACAUACACGUAUAAAAUGAGAUGCGGGUGCCAGAUCUAGGGUCCUGCCCAGGGAGGAGACGGCAGAAGAGGCACUCCAACCGUGGUGAGAUCUCAGAGAAAUCCGGCACGCGCAAGGACCAGCUCCCUGGAGUAGCUACACCAGGACCUCCUGCCUUCCUUCAGGAGGGAGAAACCUCCACCGCGGGCAGUGUGGAAGGUGCUCGGCUGGUUGUUCUUGCAAUUAGCAGAGUAUUAUGAUUUCUCCACCUCCUAAUCUCCGACCCUGGCUUUAAGAGAGUGGGAACUUCUCAUGGGGCACGUUAAAAAUCAUUCCUUUCAUAAACCUUUUAGGGCAGAGCUCACCCUCACGCGGCACGACUGCAAGCUGAGGGGAGGCGGAGGGGGAAUUCACUGGUAGAAACGCAGCGCAGAGGCUCGUCCUCACCUGGGAGACGUGGUC